rnacentral:rRNA from 1 species
CAGCAGUGGGGAAUAUUGCACAAUGGGCGCAAGCCUGAUGCAGCCAUGCCGCGUGUAUGAAGAAGGCCUUCGGGUUGUAAAGUACUUUCAGUCGUGAGGAAGGUUGUAGUGUGAAUAGCACUAUGAUUUGACGUUAGCGACAGAAGAAGCACCGGCUAACUCCGUGCCAGCAGCCGCGGUAAUACGGAGGGUGCGAGCGUUAAUCGGAAUUACUGGGCGUAAAGCGCAUGCAGGUGGUUUGUUAAGUCAGAUGUGAAAGCCCUGGGCUCAACCUAGGAGUUGCAUUUGAAACUGACAAGCUAGAGUACUGUAGAGGGGGGUAGAAUUUCAGGUGUAGCGGUGAAAUGCGUAGAGAUCUGAAGGAAUACCGGUGGCGAAGGCGGCCCCCUGGACAGAUACUGACACUCAGAUGCGAAAGCGUGGGGAGCAAACAGGAUUAGA